ensembl:lncRNA
CGGGAGUGCUGUCCUGGGCAGAGGCCAUCCAAGGAUCUGCUGUGCUCUGAGUUGCUUCAGCUCUCAAGAGGGUUUUUAAGUCCUGGGCUCCUUGGGGUGGGGGUUUUCAUUCGGGGCCCUCUGUUCCUGGUGCUCCUUGUACCAGUCCAAACAGGUUUGCUAUGGCCUCCCUGGUUUCCCGGCUCCGGAGACUGUUUUCCUUUCUGUUGGCCUUUGCUGUUGCCAUUUCGUUCACUCUCACUGUUCUCACUGUUAUCUCUGCAGCUCUGUGUCUCAACUUAGUUCUCUUCUCACAGCUGGUUGGGGUGGUUGGACUUCCCUCUUUCUGUGUUGGCAGGUAGCAGCUGGCCUUGGGCUAGAGUUAGCUUCUUAUCUUCAGACUGAACUUGAUAGAUGCAGUGUUGAAUUAACCCAUUCUCUGCUUUCUUCUUUCGCUCCCCUCCUCGGCCUCUCGUACCAGCAAAGGAAACUUCCACUCCCCACUCACACACCUUUGACCCUCCCCAAAAUGCUUUGUGAUGCUAGCAACAGCGUUAGCAAUACACAAUGCUGAUCUGCCUUCCCAAGGGAGAGGGCCUUGGGAUGUGACAGGCUGACAGGAGGCUCAGCCUUUACCACUCUUGCUCCUUUGAUCCUAGCCAUGAAGAUCCCCUAUUCUAAUCCUAACUUCCCUGAUAUAAAGCUCUACCAUUAUGCCAUAAUCCUGACUGUAAAUGUCUAUGCUAUUCCAGUCCUGAGCCCCCCAUCCCUGCUACAGCUCUACCAAUUCAUCUCAGUCCUAACUUAUGCAUCCCCUAUUAUUCCUCUCAUAUGUCCUUUAGCAAAGAAAAAAACAAAGCAGACAAUAUUUUUUCUUUUAUGUUUCAAACUACGGAGUCCACUCCAACCUACGCAGAUGUGAUCCAACAGAGUUUUAAUCAUAUUCGCUGUCUGGACAAUGCAUUCAAAAGAGUGCACCAGAGACACUGUAGAGAAAUGAAGGAUUUUGACCAGCACCAGUGGAAGGAGAAGCAAGAAUUCCUCAGAAAAGAGAAGCAAUUGCUGUCAGAGAAAGGAGAGAUGAGGAAGCUGAACCAAUUGCUGACCCCUCACCUGGAUGUACUCUUCAGUUCUGACAAGACUUCAAGUCUGCAGAAGUGUCUUCAUCCAGAAACAACCAUAAGUCAAACAGCACCCUGAGCAACCAAGAAUUCAUGAUUCCCCCAACAUACAUUGACAUAAAUGUCCAUUCAGACCUUCAUAUGCAUCUUAACCGUAUAUUUUGGGCAGCCCACCCUAAAGCUUUCUCCACCAGUUAGGAACAGAGAAACCUGAAAAAAUGUGAAGAGUCAGUUCACAGAAGUACUCUGAGUUUAAAAGUUUGAUUUCUAACCUCACUGAUCUGUAAAACUGGGCUGGAAAAAUUUUAUAGCAUUGCAAGAAUGGAAGUAAUAUGAAAAUGAAAAGUCACCUGAAUAUAAUAGUUUCAUAGUUUGGUUCUUUGCCAAAGAUUUGAGUUGUUCCUUGUUUUAUCUAAAGUGGCUUGGUCCCAGGCUGAAAGGCAUUGUAGUUCAGACUCAGUGCAUCCCCUUGCCAACACUAUACAGUAGUGGAGCUGUGCUGGCCAGCUGCAGACCCUCCCAGACAGGAGGCUCUCUGUGCUGGUGAAACCUGCAAUGAAUCCAGCCCUGUGUCUCGGUUUUCCAUUGUAUAAAAUAGGAAUAUUUUAUCCAGGGCCACCUGGGGCGGGGGGGGCAAGUGGGGCAAUUUGCCCUGGGCUCCGCAGGGGCCCCCACAAGAAUGCCAGAGGCUUCCUCCCUGGCCUGACCCUGCCUCUAUCCCUAUCCCGGAGCCUCAGUGCAUCCAGGAGCGUCGCUGGACAGCGCUGCAGCGUGGCUCCAAG